rnacentral:sRNA from 1 species
AUUCGCAAUUUAAAGGGAAGAAAUUAAGCUUUAUCCUCUCUUUUCCAUAUUAACUAUGUUUCAGGCAACCAAGUAGCACUUCUUUACAAAAUCAUUUUAGCUAAUAAAUGUAGAAAAAAGUACAGAAUUAGAAAAUUACCACUUUGCACCCCUUAACACAAAUAAUUGACGCAGGCAAAGGUCAUCAAAGGAUGAUACCAUUACAAGCAAGUUGAGGCAUUUUGCAAUGAAGGCACCAGGCUGUCACACCUUGAAUCUGCUAAUGAGUCUUGGCAUCUCUAACAGUUGGAGAACCGGAAACUGUGCGCCUCCUUAUGUGAUGCAGUGUGAAGCGCACAGCACAGCCUGUGAGAUAGACCCUUGAAUCCGGAUCUAAUGAAGGCUUCGAGCUACCUUCUUACAGGACUCUUCAGCUCCCUGCGCCUUUUAACACAUGCACAUCCAGAAAAAGCAGAGGAGAACCUGGCUGUGAUUCAAAGUGUGUGAACCCAGCUCUGUCCCUUGGGUUCCGUACAAAUAAAUGGAGCAGCUGAGGGAACUGGAUAAGAAGUUGAUUUUGUAGUUACAGGCUG